rnacentral:ncRNA from 1 species
GUAUCGAAAUGCAUGGUGGGAAAUCAGUGUGAAAUUCAUUGGCUGUUCCUGCAAAGGUUAAAGUCCUAGCGCCACCCGAUAUAGUCCGCUGUUGAAUGAAGGCCAGGAAAAGUCUAGUUCUGCAAUUUAAAU